CUGAAUUUCAUUCAGCCCGUUACCAUCCUUAUCAUUGUCAUUAUUAUUCUUUAGCUAUUGAGGGCAAGAAAUUAUGUACAAAAAUCCAGAGGCUUCUACACUUUUCUAGAGCAGGUGAUGAGCUCCCAAGCUUCACCAAAGGAGGCUGUGUUUUCACCAAGUACCACAAAGCACCAAGGCUGAAGCUGGAAUGGCACUUUUCCAAUACCCUUACCAAAAAUAACUUGAGCUUUGGCCCCACUGCCUGCUGCUCUCAGUGUGAGUGUCACAGAAACAUAUGCGGCCUUUCCUCUGGAAAGGUGAGACAGUGCUCAUGAAAAUGACUUGGCUAUCACCAACAAGGGAGGUGAUUUGUUCUACAGCCAGCUCUCCCCUCUACCGGUCCUCAGCCAGUGAAAGAAGAAUGACUUGGAAGAUGACAUCAAAUCAGAACAAUCAAAAGAAACGCUCCUCUGCAUCUCUGGGGAGAAAAAGGUUUUCUCUCAAGAAGUGUCCAGUCUAUAAAUAAAGAAAGCAAUUUGUGAAACUUGCUGCAGAAUCACAUCUAGGUCAGAAAUUAUGAUCCUUUUGUGUAUAUCUCACUUAUUUUGAAGUUACUUCUUAUUCUGGCAAAAAUACAUCUUUGGAAGCUUAUCUCCUGUAUAAAGGAAGAUGGUGGAGUCAGCAUUAAAGAAUUCGAGGCUUCAUAAAGACUGUCUCGUGACUAGGCACUCAUCUUUUGGAUUAAUCUGGCAGUGACGUGUUAAAUAAUUACCUAGCACUUUUUCCUCAAAGCACUUAAAUCUCAGUACUUUCCCUUAGUACUCCGAUGAGGAAGGCGAUUUUAUCAUCCUAAAACAAAUAAAAACAUAGAAUCCUUGUGUUAUGGGUUGAAUCGUGUCUUUUGAAAAGAGAAGCUAAAGUCCUACCCCCAGCACAUCAGAAUAUGACCUUAUUUAGAAAUAAAGUCUAGGCUAAUGUCCUACCUCCAACACCUCAGGAUGUGACCUCAUUUCGAAAUAAAGUCACUGUAAAUGUAGUUAGUUAAGGUGAGGUCAUAGUUGGUAGGGUGGGCCUUUAAUCCAAUACAAAUGGUGGUUUUAUAAGAAAGGAAGAGACACAGGGAAAGAGACACACAGGGAUAAGGAGAUUGAAGUGAUGGAUCUGCGAGCCAAGGAAUGCAAGGAUUGCUAGCAAAUACCAGAAGCUAGAAGAGGGAAGGAAGGAUUCUCCCACUGAGGCUUCGGUCAGAGCGUUACCCUACUGACACCUUGAUUUCAGACUUCUGGGAUCCAGAACCAUGAGACAAAAAAAUUUUAUUGUUUUAAGUCACCCAGUUUGCG
rnacentral:lncRNA from 10 species